AACCAUAGAAACCUGCGGAGUACCUGCGGAGGGAUCAUUACAGAGUUCAUGCCCUCACGGGUAGAUCUUCCACCCUUGAAUACUAUACCUUUGUUGCUUUGGCGGGCCGCUUUGGCUACUGGCUCUGGCUAGUAAGUGCCCGCCAAAGAACCCCAAAACUCUGAAUAUUAGUGUCGUCUGAGUACUAUAUAAUAGUUAAAACUUUUAACAACGGAUCU
rnacentral:misc_RNA from 1 species